rnacentral:rRNA from 1 species
UACGGAGGGUGCAAGCGUUAAUCGGAAUUACUGGGCGUAAAGGGUGCGUAGGCGGUUGUUUAAGUCUGUUGUGAAAUCCCCGGGCUCAACCUGGGAAUGGCAAUGGAUACUGGGCAGCUAGAGUGUGUCAGAGGAUGGUGGAAUUCCCGGUGUAGCGGUGAAAUGCGUAGAGGUCGGGAGGAACAUCAGUGGCGAAGGCGGCCAUCUGGGACAACACUGACGCUGAAGCACGAAAGCGUGGGGAGCAAACAGG